UACGUAGGGUGCAGGCGUUAAUCGGAAUCAUUGGGCGUAAAGCGCACGUAGGCGGACCAUCAAGUCGGAUGUGAAAUCCCUCGGCUUAACCGAGGACGUGCAUUCGAAACUGAUGGCCUUGAGUACGAAAGAGGAUCGCGGAAUUCCCGGUGUAGAGGUGAAAUUCGUAGAUAUCGGGAGGAACACCAGUGGCGAAGGCGGCGAUCUGGGUCGAUACUGACGCUGAGGUGCGAAAGCGUGGGGAGCAAACAGG
rnacentral:rRNA from 1 species